AGCAGCCGCGGUAAUUCCAGCUCCAAUAGCGUAUAUUAAAGUUGUUGCAGUUAAAAAGCUCGUAGUUGAAUUUCGGAAUCAAUGGAUCGGUCAUGCCACUCGGUGUGUACUGGUUUGAUUGGUUCUCACCUUCUAAGGAACCGUGAUGUCAUUAAUUUGGUGUCGCGGGGAAUUAGGACUGUUACCUUGAAAAAUUAGAGUGUUUAAAGCAAGCUCACGCUUGAAUACAUUAGCAUGGAAUAAUGAAAUAGGACAUUGUAUUCUAUUUUGUUGGUUUCUAGGAUCGAUGUAAUGAUUAAUAGGGAUAGUUGGGGCAUUAGUAUUCAAUUGUCAGAGGUGAAAUUCUUGGAUUUAUUGAAGACUAACUACUGCGAAAGCAUUUGCCAAGGAUGUUUUCAUUAAUCUAAGAACGAAAGUUAGGGGAUCGAAGACGAUCAGAUACCGUCGUAGUCUUAAA
rnacentral:rRNA from 1 species